rnacentral:rRNA from 1 species
CAGCAGCCGCGGUAAAACGUAGGUGGCAAGCGUUAUCCGGAAUUAUUGGGCGUAAAGCGCGCGUAGGCGGUUUUUUAAGUCUGAUGUGAAAGCCCACGGCUCAACCGUGGAGGGUCAUUGGAAACUGGAAAACUUGAGUGCAGAAGAGGAAAGUGGAAUUCCAUGUGUAGCGGUGAAAUGCGCAGAGAUAUGGAGGAACACCAGUGGCGAAGGCGACUUUCUGGUCUGUAACUGACGCUGAUGUGCGAAAGCGUGGGGAUCAAACAGGAUUAGAUACCCGCGUAGUCCCUGUCUCUUAUAC